AGCACAUGAGGACAAACAGGCUCGACGACAUUUCUAUUGCUGAUAUAGAGACAGUAGUCAACAACAAUGGAGUUGGAGCUUCUCGUUACUCUGCAGAUGAGAUUAUGGCUCUAUUAGAGGUACAUCACAAAACUAGCGUCUCACUUUUUAUUUGUUUUAACCUUUCCUCGUUACUUACCCUAUUUGUGGAUUUAUGCAGAAACUGCAAGAUGAUAACAAAGUGAUGAUCAGCGACGGAAAGGUCCAUAUCAUUUGAUCCUUCAUGAAGACAUGCACCUAAAGAAGUAAUUUCCUCAUAUUAGAACUCAAAGUAGUGUGGGAGAAGAGAAGCUAUUGGGGACCAAAGUAUCUUUUCUAUUUAAAUCAUACUUUUUAAUUCGUCUUUGCAUCUAUUAUUUAAGUAAGAAACGCAAAUCUUUUGCUAGUCAGUGUCGCUUUCUUCCUAAAGAUCUUGUGUACCUGAACAAUGCAACCUCUUCAUUAAGUUCUCACUCGUUCAGCCUUG
rnacentral:lncRNA from 1 species